UACGUAGGGUCCGAGCGUUGUCCGGAAUUAUUGGGCGUAAAGGGCUCGUAGGCGGUUUGUCGCGUCGGGAGUGAAAACACCGGGCUUAACUCGGUGCUUGCUUUCGAUACGGGCAGACUGGAGGUAUGCAGGGGAGAACGGAAUUCCUGGUGUAGCGGUGAAAUGCGUAGAUAUCAAGAGGAACACCUGCGGCGAAGGCGGGUUGCUGGGCCGACACUGACGCUGAGGCGCGAAAGCCAGGGGAGCGAACGGG
rnacentral:rRNA from 1 species